rnacentral:rRNA from 1 species
GUUUCGGCUAGGGGGCCAUCCCGGCUUACCAACCCGAUGCAAACUGCGAAUACCGGAGAAUGUUAUCACGGGAGACACACGGCGGGUGCUAACGUCCGUCGUGAAGAGGGAAACAACCCAGACCGCCAGCUAAGGUCCCAAAGUCAUGGUUAAGUGGGAAACGAUGUGGGAAGGCCCAGACAGCCAGGAUGUUGGCUUAGAAGCAGCCAUCAUUUAAAGAAAGCGUAAUAGCUCACUGGUCGAGUCGGCCUGCGCGGAAGAUGUAACGGGGCUAAACCAUGCACCGAAGCUGCGGCAGCGACGCUGAUGCGUUGUUGGGUAGGGGAGCGUUCUGUAAGCCUGCGAAGGUGGCCUGUGAGGGUUGCUGGAGGUAUCAGAAGUGCGAAUGCUGACAUAAGUAACGAUAAAGCGGGUGAAAAGCCCGCUCGCCGGAAGACCAAGGGUUCCUGUCCAACGUUAAUCGGGGCAGGGUGAGUCGACCCCUAAGGCGAGGCCGAAAGGCGUAGUCGAUGGGAAACGGGUUAAUAUUCCCGUACUUGGUGUUACUGCGAAGGGGGGACGGAGAAGGCUAUGUUGGCCGGGCGACGGUUGUCCCGGUUUAAGCGUGUAGGUGUGUGUUCCAGGUAAAUCCGGUUCACUUUAACACUGAGGCGUGACGACGAGGCACUACGGUGCUGAAGCAACAAAUGCCCUGCUUCCAGGAAAAGCCUCUAAGCAUCAGGUAACAUCAAAUCGUACCCCAAACCGACACAGGUGGUCAGGUAGAGAAUACCAAGGCGCUUGAGAGAACUCGGGUGAAGGAACUAGGCAAAAUGGUGCCGUAACUUCGGGAGAAGGCACGCUGACACGUAGGUGAAGUGAUUUACUCAUGGAGCUGAAGUCAGUCGAAGAUACCAGCUGGCUGCAACUGUUUAUUAAAAACACAGCACUGUGCAAACACGAAAGUGGACGUAUACGGUGUGACGCCUGCCCGGUGCCGGAAGGUUAAUUGAUGGGGUCAGCGCAAGCGAAGCUCCUGAUCGAAGCCCCGGUAAACGGCGGCCGUAACUAUAACGGUCCUAAGGUAGCGAAAUUCCUUGUCGGGUAAGUUCCGACCUGCACGAAUGGCGUAAUGAUGGCCAGGCUGUCUCCACCCGAGACUCAGUGAAAUUGAACUCGCUGUGAAGAUGCAGUGUACCCGCGGCAAGACGGAAAGACCCCGUGAACCUUUACUAUAGCUUGACACUGAACAUUGAGCCUUGAUGUGUAGGAUAGGUGGGAGGCUUUGAAGUGUGGACGCCAGUCUGCAUGGAGCCGACCUUGAAAUACCACCCUUUAAUGUUUGAUGUUCUAACGUGGACCCGUGAUCCGGGUUGCGGACAGUGUCUGGUGGGUAGUUUGACUGGGGCGGUCUCCUCCUAAAGAGUAACGGAGGAGCACGAAGGUUGGCUAAUCCUGGUCGGACAUCAGGAGGUUAGUGCAAUGGCAUAAGCCAGCUUGACUGCGAGCGUGACGGCGCGAGCAGGUGCGAAAGCAGGUCAUAGUGAUCCGGUGGUUCUGAAUGGAAGGGCCAUCGCUCAACGGAUAAAAGGUACUCCGGGGAUAACAGGCUGAUACCGCCCAAGAGUUCAUAUCGACGGCGGUGUUUGGCACCUCGAUGUCGGCUCAUCACAUCCUGGGGCUGAAGUAGGUCCCAAGGGUAUGGCUGUUCGCCAUUUAAAGUGGUACGCGAGCUGGGUUUAGAACGUCGUGAGACAGUUCGGUCCCUAUCUGCCGUGGGCGCUGGAGAACUGAGGGGGGCUGCUCCUAGUACGAGAGGACCGGAGUGGACGCAUCACUGGUGUUCGGGUUGUCAUGCCAAUGGCACUGCCCGGUAGCUAAAUGCGGAAGAGAUAAGUGCUGAAAGCAUCUAAGCACGAAACUUGCCCCGAG